CGCAGUCCGCGCAGCAAGCGCUCAACCUCCCGCUCCUGACGCUCGCGACGCGGCGCUACAGGCGCUAGCGUCGUCAUCGUGGUCGUCUGUCUCACGCGUGCCUCUCGGGCACCUCGCGGAAAACAGUCGGCUCUCGCGAAGUGUCCGCGCUCGGAUGCUUAAUCCCCCGCUGGAGGAUACUGUCUUGGUUGGUGAUGCGCACGGACAACUUUCCCCGCUAGCUCUCGUCGCUCGGAAGACGCCUCGCCUAGUCGGGCUUCCCUGCAAGGGCGUUGGUUUAUCGUGAGCGAGGUAUGGAGUUCUUACUGUGAGUCAAACCCAGGUAGGAACUUCAUACCAUGCUCGCGAUGGAAUGCAACCCACUCAUCGCUCCAAGUCACCGCCCGACGUCAGCGGUGUUGACGCCAAGGUAUUCAACCGAGUCGUGCGCGCGGAACGCAUGGACGUGGCUUAGUCAUCUCGCAUAGGCCACCUCGAUAGGCCCCUGCCAGCCAUGCAUGCCAUGCCGAGAGCCUGCAUGCCAUCACUCGCGUGCACGAUGCCAAGGAGGCGGCGCCUUGCACGCCGCGGCGACACGGGUUCGGCGACGCUGGCUGCGCCGCGCUCUCCCUGCGGGCACUCCUCCAGCCGGAAGCCGACGAGCCAUCGUCGUGAUUAGCCAGAAAAAGAAAGGAAGACUAAGCGCGCUCACCACCGUUUGCUUCGCAGACACCUUAGCUCGUCGAAGCUCCAUUGUCAGUGUACAAAAAAAAAAAACAAUUGCAGGUAGGUGCACCGUCAUCUCGCGCGUAGUACGGGUUGCGGUGAUACUCAAAGACAAUAAAAUUUACAGUGAACCAA